UACGAAGGGGGGCUAGCGUUGCUCGGAAUCACUGGGCGUAAAGGGUGCGUAGGCGGGUUUUUAAGUCAGGGGUGAAAUCCCGGGGCUCAACCCCGGAACUGCCUUUGAUACUGGGUGUCUUGAGUGUGGUAGAGGUGAGUGGAAUUGCGAGUGUAGAGGUGAAAUUCGUAGAUAUUCGCAGGAACACCAGUGGCGAAGGCGGCUCACUGGACCACAACUGACGCUGAGGUGCGAAAGCGUGGGGAGCGAACAGG
rnacentral:rRNA from 1 species